AAGAUAUGGUAUUAACAAUAAACGUACAAAGAAAGUAGCCACAGGCCUUGCGAUCCCAGGACGCAAGUUCCAUGGAAACGAUAUUCCAGAUGAUUAUUGCAAAGUAGAAGUGACGACGGUCGUCCAAGGAUCCGAGGACGACAUGCUAGACAUCCCUGGGCCCGAAGGUAUCGAGAAACUUGGACAAGCUAUCAAGAAUUUUAUCCUUUGGCCUCGAAGGGAUGUCGAUUUGCUUGAUUGGUCGAAUUCGCCGCAGGCGUCGCAGGCCCAACCGUCUCCGCCUUCUCAAAUUUUUGCUCCUAUUGUACAUCCAUCAUCCUCACCUCCUCAAACUUCACAUGCUGCUCCUCAUCCUUUUUCUGACCCACCGUCUCCGCCACAAGCAUCACCAUUCAGGGCUCCACCACCUUCUCCUUCCCAUCCUCUUGGUGACCCACUGUCUACGCCACCAUCAAGGGAUCCACCUUCUCCACAGCCAUCAAACGAUCCAAGGCCAUCAAAGAAAUCUAAACUUCCUAUUCCAAAAUUGGUGUCCCCGUAUCAGAAAAAGAAGAGUAAAGCUACUACUGCUGGCACAGUUCGGUUUUUGAAAGGGAUUGGACGGAGCCUCACGUCACAAACUGUUGAUUUGGCCGAGCACGAGGAGUCUGCAAAAAAGGCUGAGGCAAUGGCCGCAAAGAUAAAGAAGCCAACUAAGGCAGAUUACAAAAACGUGCCUAAAAAAUAUGUGCC
rnacentral:misc_RNA from 1 species